AUACGGAGGGUGCAAGCGUUGUUCGGAAUCAUUGGGCGUAAAGCGCGCGUAGGCGGCUUGGCAAGUCGGAUGUGAAAUCCCGGGGCCCAACCCCGGAACUGCAUUCGAUACUGCCUAGCUAGAGUCCCGGAGAGGAAGGCAGAAUUCCCGGUGUAGAGGUGAAAUUCGUAGAUAUCGGGAGGAACACCAGUGGCGAAGGCGGCCACCUGGACGAUGACUGACGCUCAGACCCAAAAGCGUGGGGAGCAAACAGAAUUAGAAACCCGGGUAGUCC
rnacentral:rRNA from 1 species